rnacentral:rRNA from 1 species
UACGUAGGUGGCGAGCGUUAUCCGGAAUUAUUGGGCGUAAAGAGCGCGCAGGUGGUUGAUUAAGUCUGAUGUGAAAGCCCACGGCUUAACCGUGGAGGGUCAUUGGAAACUGGUCGACUUGAGUGCAGAAGAGGGAAGUGGAAUUCCAUGUGUAGCGGUGAAAUGCGUAGAGAUAUGGAGGAACACCGGUGGCGAAGGCGGCUUCCUGGACCGAUACUGACGCUGAGACGCGAAAGCGUGGGGAGCAAACAGGAUUAGAUACCCCU